UGCUAAUACCGCAUAACAACUUGGACCGCAUGGUCCGAGCUUGAAAGAUGGCUUCGGCUAUCACUUUUGGAUGGUCCCGCGGCGUAUUAGCUAGAUGGUGGGGUAACGGCUCACCAUGGCAAUGAUACGUAGCCGACCUGAGAGGGUAAUCGGCCACAUUGGGACUGAGACACGGCCCAAACUCCUACGGGAGGCAGCAGUAGGGAAUCUUCCACAAUGGACGAAAGUCUGAUGGAGCAACGCCGCGUGAGUGAAGAAGGGUUUCGGCUCGUAAAACUCUGUUGUUAAAGAAGAACAUAUCUGAGAGUAACUGUUCAGGUAUUGACGGUAUUUAACCAGAAAGCCACGGCUAACUACGUGCCAGCAGCCGCGGUAAUACGUAGGUGGCAAGCGUUGUCCGGAUUUAUUGGGCGUAAAGCGAGCGCAGGCGGUUUUUUAAGUCUGAUGUGAAAGCCUUCGGCUCAACCGAAGAAGUGCAUCGGAAA
rnacentral:rRNA from 2 species